rnacentral:rRNA from 1 species
AUUCCAGCUCCAAUAGCGUAUAUUAAAGUUGUUGCAGUUAAAAAGCUCGUAGUUGGAGUUCAGAGUGAGCUCAGCCGGUCCGCCUCAUGGGUGAGUACUGGUCGACUCUCUCUUGUUUGUGAAUCCCGCCCGGAGUUAAUUCUUCGGGAUGUGGAGUUCACAUCGUUUACCUUGAAAAGAUUAGAGUGUUCAAAGCAGGCGUUUGCUUGAAUAUAUUAGCAUGGAAUAAUGGAAUAGGACCCUGGUUCUAUUUUGUUGGUUUUGAGAACCAGAGUAAUGAUUAAUAGGGAUAGUUGGGGGCAUUCAUAUUUCAUUGUCAGAGGUGAAAUUCUUGGAUUUAUGAAAGAUGAACUUCUGCGAAAGCAUUUGCCAAGGAUGUUUUCAUCA